rnacentral:rRNA from 1 species
UUAAGCGACUAAGCGUACACGGUGGAUGCCCUGGCAGUCAGAGGCGAUGAAGGACGUGCUAAUCUGCGAAAAGCGCCGGCGAGGUGAUAUGAACCCUUGACCCGGCGAUGUCCGAAUGGGGAAACCCAGUGCAAUCCGUUGCACUAUCGUUAACUGAAUACAUAGGUUAACGAGGCGAACCGGGGGAACUGAAACAUCUAAGUACCCCGAGGAAAAGAAAUCAACCGAGAUUCCCCCAGUAGCGGCGAGCGAACGGGGAGCAGCCCGGAGUCUGAAUCAGCUUGUGUGUUAGUGGAACGGUCUGGAAAGUCCGACGGUACAGGGUGAUAGUCCCGUACACGAAAAUGCACAUGCUGUGAACUCGAAGAGUAGGGCGGGACACGUGGUAUCCUGUCUGAAUAUGGGGGGACCAUCCUCCAAGGCUAAAUACUCCUGACUGACCGAUAGUGAACCAGUACCGUGAGGGAAAGGCGAAAAGAACCCCGGCGAGGGGAGUGAAAAAGAACCUGAAACCGUGUACGUACAAGCAGUGGGAGCCUCUUUAUGGGGUGACUGCGUACCUUUUGUAUAAUGGGUCAGCGACUUAUAUUCUGUAGCAAGGUUAACCGUAUAGGGGAGCCGAAGGGAAACCGAGUCUUAACUGGGCGUUAAGUUGCAGGGUAUAGACCCGAAACCCGGUGAUCUAGCCAUGGGCAGGUUGAAGGUUGGGUAACACUAACUGGAGGACCGAACCGACUAAUGUUGAAAAAUUAGCGGAUGACCUGUGGCUGGGGGUGAAAGGCCAAUCAAACCGGGAGAUAGCUGGUUCUCCCCGAAAGCUAUUUAGGUAGCGCCUCGUGAACUCAUCUUCGGGGGUAGAGCACUGUUUCGGCUAGGGGGCCAUCCCGGCUUACCAACCCGAUGCAAACUACGAAUACCGAAGAAUGUUAUCACGGGAGACACACGGCGGGUGCUAACGUCCGUCGUGAAGAGGGAAACAACCCAGACCGCCAGCUAAGGUCCCAAAGUCAUGGUUAAGUGGGAAACGAUGUGGGAAGGCACAGACAGCCAGGAUGUUGGCUUAGAAGCAGCCAUCAUUUAAAGAAAGCGUAAUAGCUCACUGGUCGAGUCGGCCUGCGCGGAAGAUGUAACGGGGCUAAACCAUGCACCGAAGCUGCGGCAGCGACGCUUAUGCGUUGUUGGGUAGGGGAGCGUUCUGUAAGCCGUUGAAGGUGUGCUGUGAGGCAUGCUGGAGGUAUCAGAAGUGCGAAUGCUGACAUAAGUAACGAUAAAGCGGGUGAAAAGCCCGCUCGCCGGAAGACCAAGGGUUCCUGUCCAACGUUAAUCGGGGCAGGGUGAGUCGACCCCUAAGGCGAGGCCGAAAGGCGUAGUCGAUGGGAAACAGGUUAAUAUUCCUGUACUUGGUGUUACUGCGAAGGGGGGACGGAGAAGGCUAUGUCAGCCGGGCGACGGUUGUCCCGGUUUAAGCAUGUAGGCGGAGGUUCCAGGUAAAUCCGGUACCUUGUUAACGCUGAGGUGUGAUGACGAGGCACUACGGUGCUGAAGUGAUAAAUGCCCUGCUUCCAGGAAAAGCCUCUAAGCAUCAGGUAACACGAAAUCGUACCCCAAACCGACACAGGUGGUCAGGUAGAGAAUACCAAGGCGCUUGAGAGAACUCGGGUGAAGGAACUAGGCAAAAUGGUGCCGUAACUUCGGGAGAAGGCACGCUGAUGUGUAGGUGAAGCCCCUGCGGGUGGAGCUGAAAUCAGUCGAAGAUACCAGCUGGCUGCAACUGUUUAUUAAAAACACAGCACUGUGCAAACACGAAAGUGGACGUAUACGGUGUGACGCCUGCCCGGUGCCGGAAGGUUAAUUGAUGGGGUUAGCGGCAACGCGAAGCUCUUGAUCGAAGCCCCGGUAAACGGCGGCCGUAACUAUAACGGUCCUAAGGUAGCGAAAUUCCUUGUCGGGUAAGUUCCGACCUGCACGAAUGGCGUAAUGAUGGCCAGGCUGUCUCCACCCGAGACUCAGUGAAAUUGAACUCGCUGUGAAGAUGCAGUGUACCCGCGGCAAGACGGAAAGACCCCGUGAACCUUUACUAUAGCUUGACACUGAACACUGGUCCUUGAUGUGUAGGAUAGGUGGGAGGCUUUGAAGCGUGGACGCCAGUCUGCGUGGAGCCAACCUUGAAAUACCACCCUUUAAUGGCUGGUGUUCUAACGUAGACCCGUAAUCCGGGUUGCGGACAGUGUCUGGUGGGUAGUUUGACUGGGGCGGUCUCCUCCCAAAGAGUAACGGAGGAGCACGAAGGUUGGCUAAUCCUGGUCGGACAUCAGGAGGUUAGUGCAAUGGCAUAAGCCAGCUUGACUGCGAGCGUGACGGCGCGAGCAGGUGCGAAAGCAGGUCAUAGUGAUCCGGUGGUUCUGAAUGGAAGGGCCAUCGCUCAACGGAUAAAAGGUACUCCGGGGAUAACAGGCUGAUACCGCCCAAGAGUUCAUAUCGACGGCGGUGUUUGGCACCUCGAUGUCGGCUCAUCACAUCCUGGGGCUGAAGUAGGUCCCAAGGGUAUGGCUGUUCGCCAUUUAAAGUGGUACGCGAGCUGGGUUUAGAACGUCGUGAGACAGUUCGGUCCCUAUCUGCCGUGGGCGCUGGAGAAUUGAGGGGGGCUGCUCCUAGUACGAGAGGACCGGAGUGGACGCAUCACUGGUGUUCGGGUUGUCAUGCCAAUGGCACUGCCCGGUAGCUAAAUGCGGAAGAGAUAAGUGCUGAAAGCAUCUAAGCACGAAACUUGCCCCGAGAUGAGUUCUCCCUGAGAC